rnacentral:rRNA from 1 species
UUCGGGGUGGAUUAGUGGCGAACGGGUGAGUAACACGUGGGCAAUCUGCCCUGCACUCUGGGACAAGCCCUGGAAACGGGGUCUAAUACCGGAUAACACCCCCUCUCGCAUGGGAGGGGGUUGAAAGCUCCGGCGGUGCAGGAUGAGCCCGCGGCCUAUCAGCUUGUUGGUGAGGUAGAAGCUCACCAAGGCGACGACGGGUAGCCGGCCUGAGAGGGCGACCGGCCACACUGGGACUGAGACACGGCCCAGACUCCUACGGGAGGCAGCAGUGGGGAAUAUUGCACAAUGGGCGAAAGCCUGAUGCAGCGACGCCGCGUGAGGGAUGACGGCCUUCGGGUUGUAAACCUCUUUCAGCAGGGAAGAAGCGAAAGUGACGGUACCUGCAGAAGAAGCGCCGGCUAACUACGUGCCAGCAGCCGCGGUAAUACGUAGGGCGCAAGCGUUGUCCGGAAUUAUUGGGCGUAAAGAGCUCGUAGGCGGCUUGUCACGUCGGUUGUGAAAGCCCGGGGCUUAACCCCGGGUCUGCAGUCGAUACGGGCAGGCUAGAGUGUGGUAGGGGAGAUCGGAAUUCCUGGUGUAGCGGUGAAAUGCGCAGAUAUCAGGAGGAACACCGGUGGCGAAGGCGGAUCUCUGGGCCAUUACUGACGCUGAGGAGCGAAAGCGUGGGGAGCGAACAGGAUUAGAUACCCUGGUAGUCCACGCCGUAAACGGUGGGAACUAGGUGUUGGCGACAUUCCACGUCGUCGGUGCCGCAGCUAACGCAUUAAGUUCCCCGCCUGGGGAGUACGGCCGCAAGGCUAAAACUCAAAGGAAUUGACGGGGGCCC